GAAGCCAGCGAGGAUGGCUGCGCGCGCGUAUGGGUGCAAGCGCGCGGCGACCCGUCUGUCUCCUUCUUUUUUUCUUUUUUAAAUGUAACCUGGUUUAUUGGGCUCUCGGCGUAUUCUUGCGUUCCUUCUGCACUGGGACAAGACACCACUGCACUAUUGGACUACGGCAUGCUGGUGCCGUCCGGUGGAGCUUCAUACAGGAACUACUGCCUUACCUGCUGGUGUCACAACGUUGGAUGAACGCACAAAAAGCGCGGAACGAGCUUUUAUAUAGAGCAAAAUAAAUAUUUCCUCAUUGCACAAAA